GGCUCAGUAACACGUAGUUAACCUACCUUCGGGACGGGGACAACCUCGGGAAACUGAGGAUAAUCCCCGAUAGGUGAGGGACGCUGGAAUGCCUCCUCACCCAAACGCUCCGGCGCCCGAGGAUGGGACUGCGGCCUAUCAGGCUGUUGGUGGUGUGACGGACCACCAAACCUACAACGGGUACGGGCGAUGGGAGUCGGAGCCCGGAGAUGGGGACUGAGACAAGGCCCCAGGCCCUACGGGGCGCAGCAGGCGCGAAAACUCCGCAAUGCGCGCAAGCGUGACGGGGGGACCCCAAGUGCCGUUGGUCUUUGAUCGACGGCUUUUUGGGAGUGUAAAAAGCUCCUAGAAUAAGGGCUGGGUAAGUCUGGUGCCAGCCGCCGCGGUAAUACCAGCAGCCCAAGUGGUGGUCGCGAUUAUUGGGCCUAAAGCGCUCGUAGCCGGGCUGGCAAGUCCCUUGUGAAAUCGGACGGCCCAACCGUUCGGCCUGCAAGGGAUACUGCUGGCCUUGAGGCCGAUAGACGUCGAGGGUACUCUGGGGGUAGCGGUGAAAUGCUGUAAUCCUCGGGGGACCACCAGUGGCGAAGGCGCUCGACGAGAGCGGACCUGACGGUGAGGGGCGAAGGCUAGGGGAGCGAACGGGAUUAGAUACCCCGGUAGUCCUAGCUGUAAAGCAUGCGGGCCAUGUGUCUGGUGUUCCUCGAGAGCACUAGGUGCCGUAGGGAAGCCGUUAAGCCCGCCGCCUGGGAAGUACGGCCGCAAGGCUGAAACUUAAAGAAAUUGGCGGGGGAGCACCACAAGGGGUGGGACCUGCGGUUCAAUUGGAUUCAACGCCGGAAAACUCACCGGGGGCGACAGUUGGUUGAAGGCCAGGUUGAUGACCUUGCCGGACUAGCUGAGAGGUGGUGCAUGGCC
rnacentral:rRNA from 1 species